rnacentral:rRNA from 1 species
ACCCGCUGAAUUUAAGCAUAUCAGUAACGGCAGGAAAGGAAAAUAACCAUGAUUCCUUCAGUAACGGCGAGUGAAGUGGGAUCAGUCCAACGUUGAAAGCGAGAUAUAACAAAGUGUGGCAUUGUAACGUAUAGACUUGCCAUCGAGACAUUUGGCUGGACCUAAGUCGUUAAGAGUGACGCACCACAGAGGGUUGUAGUCCCGUGUAUGGUUCGGUUUCAGAUGUCAAGCAUGGCAAAGUCAAAGAGUCGGAUUGUUUGGGAAUGCAGUCCUAAGCAGGUGGUAAACUCCAUCUAAGACUAAAUAUAACUCCGAGACCGAUAGCAAACAAGUACCGUGAGGGAAAGGUGAAAAGAACUCUGAGAAGAGAUUGAAAAGAACGUGAAACCGUUAAUGGGGAAGCAUACAAUGUAAUCGUAGGGUUGUAAUAUUUGUGUCGAGCGGUGGUCGUCUCCACUGAUCGGUGCUUAAUUUUACGACGCGCGCUAGGCUCUAUGCUAAGGUCAUUGUCAGUGUGUUUAGUGGUUCAUCAACGGCCCUUCCUUGAGGAAUGGUUAGGUGGCUGUGGGCACGUGCUGUUGUAGAAUGACGCGGCAUAGAUGUAUGUGCUUGUGUGCCCUAUCGUAUGGACGUAAAGUUGAUGUUGUUCACUAUGUGGGUAGCGUGGAUGUAGCGUUUUUGCGGUAUGGUACCACGAUGAAGGUCGCACAUAAACUCUUAGCGAGAUAUGACAUUGUCUGACCCGUCUUGAAACACGGACCAAGGAGGCUAACAUGUACGCAAGUCGAGGAGUGGAGAAACUCUAUGGCGCAACGAAAGUAAAAUGUGAGAUCACGCAAUGUGGAGUUGUGUGCGCAUCACAGACCAGUCGGAAAAUUGACUACGAUUGAGUUGGAGCGUACAUGCUAGGACCCGAUAGAUGGUGACCUAUUCCUGAGUAGAGCGAAUUCAUUGGAAACAAUGAUGGAGGCUCGUAGCGGUUCUGACGUGCAAAUCGACCGUCACACUUGGGUAUAGGGGCGAAAGACUAAUCGAACCAUCUAGUAGCUGGUUCCCUCCGAAAUAUCCCUCAGGAUCGCCGAGACUCGUUAGCAGUUUCAUCGGGUAGAGCUAAUGAUUAGAGGACUCGGGGCUAUUUAUAGCCUCGACCUAUUCUCAAACUGCAAACCGGUGACCUUGUCAGUGAUUACUUGAUUGAAUCGCUGAUACCGUAAGGGCGAAUGUAGAGUCUCGAGUGGGCCGUUUUUGGUAAGCAGAACUGGCGAUGCGGGAUGAAACGAGAGUCGGGUUAAAGUGCCUAAAUGGAGGCAGAUGGAUACCACAAAAGGAGUUGAUGAAUUAUGACAGUAAGGCUGUGGUCCUGAAAGUAGACAUCAGCUAAGAAGUGUGCAACAACUUACUUACCGAAUUCAUCGGCCCUGAAAAUGGAUGGCGCUUAGCCUUCUACUGAUACCCGACCGUGGACGCGAGAAAUGUAUCGUUCAUGGGUAGGAGGGUGCUAUGGUUGCGGAGAAGCUUGCACGUGAGUGUGAGUGGAGCUGCCAUAGGUACAGAUCUUGGUUUUAGUAGCAGCGUAUAGAAGUGAGAACCUUCUAGACCGAAGUGGAGAAGGGUUCCUCGUGAACAGCAGUUGGACGAGGGUUAGUCGGUCCUAAGCAGCAGCUCACACGCUGAGUCAUAGAAGACGUUUUGUAGAUAGUGUGCUUGCAUGCGAUACACCGUCUUUAGUCUGCGAAAGGGAAUCAGGUUAAUAUUCCUGAACCAAGUGUCGAAUAGUUAGGUAAUUGUUUUUUGGUAGGUGUCCCGAAGCGGGGACUUGUGCUUGCGAGGGUGCUAUUGAGGCAAUAUCAGCAAAAGCGGUAAACGCAAACGAAACUCGGAGACGUUUGUUUGAUAGUUCUGGAAAGAGUUAUCUUUUCUGUUUAACCGAUUUGAGUGAGCCUGGAAAUAGAGUCAUUCGGAGAUAGGCUUAAACAAUUGGGAAGAGCGUCGCAUCUUAGUGGCGUCCGGAAUACUGUCAAUGAUCCGUGAAAAUCCGAGGGAGUGGUUAAUUUUCGCACUUGGCCGUACCGAGAUCCGCAUCAGGUCUCCAAGGUGAAUAGCCUCUGGUUCUAGAAUAAUGUGGGUAAGGGAAGUCGGCAAAAUAGAUUCGUAACUUCGGGAAAAGGAUUGGCUCUAAGGAUUGGACUGUUUGGACCUGCGAAUGCUGAGUGCGGUUCUUGUCUACGGUUGGUAAGAUGGGAGGGGGUUUCGGCUUCUUUGCGUCUUAUCAACUGUUAAUGAGAUACUGCGUUCUUCAUUUGUUGGUUUGUAUCGGUGCAUUGUUGGCCGUGUGUUGGCAAUGUAUCGGUGCCUCGCAGGCAGUUGGUAUCAAUCAACUUAGAACUGUCACUGACUAGGGGAAUCCGACUGUUUAGUUAAAACAAAGCAUUGCGAUGGCUGGAAACGGUGUUGACGCAAUGUGAAUUCUGCCCAGUGCUCUGAAUGUAAAAGUGUGGAGACACAACCAAGCGCGGGUAAACGGCGGGAGUAACUAUGACUCUCUUAAGAUAGCCAAAUGCCUCGUCAUCUAAUUAGUGACGCGCAUGAAUGGAUCAACGAGAUUCCCACUGUCCCUACCUACCAUCUAGCGAACAAACAGUCAAGGGAACGGGCUUGACUGAGACAGCGGGGAAAGAAGACCCUGUUGAGCUUGACUCUAGUUUGAUAUGGUGAGGAGACAUGAGAGGUGUAGUAUAGGUGGGAGAUACGGGUGCUUGCAUUCGUGUCGACAGUGAAAUACCACUACUCUUAUCGUUUCUUCACUAAAUCGGUGAUGAAGGAAGCGCCCGCUUGCAGGUGUAGUCGAAAUGCUGCUUCACGGCUGAUAGAGGUUGUGGGUUUGCUCGCAACUUUCGUUAGUUGAGGAGAGCUGAUUAUAACCGGAGUGGGUACGCCAAUUAUCCGUAAGCAUUAAGAUGGGCUGCUUCUGAUAGGCGGGUAUUGGCGCAAGUUAGUGCUCGUUUGUUAGGAGCUGGCUUUUCGAGAGUGUGUCCAUCGACCUUUCCGUGGUUAUGCAGCAAUGUAUAAUCAUGGGUUCGAACGACCGAUGACAGUAUCAAAUGGGGAGUUUGACUGGGGCGGUACAUUCUUUAAAAUGCAACGAGAAUGUCCUAAGGUGGGCUCACCGUGGACAGAAACCACGGGUAG